rnacentral:rRNA from 1 species
CCUACGGGAGGCUGCAGUGGGGAAUAUUGCACAAUGGGGGAAACCCUGAUGCAGCGACGCCGCGUGAGUGAUGAAGUAUUUCGGUAUGUAAAGCUCUAUCAGCAGGGAAGAUAAUGACGGUACCUGACUAAGAAGCUCCGGCUUAAUACGUGCCAGCAGCCGCGGUAAUACGUAUGGAGCAAGCGUUAUCCGGAUUUACUGGGUGUAAAGGGAGCGCAGACGGCAGGGCAAGUCUGAUGUGAAAGUCCGGGGCUCAACCCCGGGACUGCAUUGGAAACUGUCCGGCUAGAGUGUAGGAGAGGUAAGUGGAAUUCCUAGUGUAGCGGUGAAAUGCGUAGAUAUUAGGAGGAACACCAGUGGCGAAGGCGGCUUACUGGACUGUAACUGACGUUGAGGCUCGAAAGCGUGGGGAGCAAACAGGAUUAGAUACCCCUGUAGUC